UGAAAAUUAGCUUUCAGAACUUUACUUCUUCUACCUAUGUGGCCACCUACGGGAACGUAGGUAGUACCUAUGGACCGUAGGUAGACCUCCUACUUCACUUUAUUACUUUUUGCUCCUUCUCUACUCUAAACCAUAUUUUCCUGCAAAACCAACAUAAAAGCACAUCAUAUCUAACUAAAAUACCUAAUUGCUUGCAUAAUUUUCUAGUUUUACGCAUCGGUAGU
rnacentral:lncRNA from 1 species